GGACCCGCACAAGCGGUGGAACAUGUGGUUUAAUUCGACACUAAGCGAAGAACCUCACCAGGACUUGACAUCUAGAGAAUCCCGACGAAAGUUGGGAGUGCCGCAAGGAGCUCUAAGACAGGUGCUGCACGGUCGUCGUCAGCUCGUGCUGUGAAGUGUCCCGUUAAGUCGGUUAACGAGCGCAACCCCUAUUGCAUGUUAAAUUUCUCAUGCGAGACUGCCGGUGUUAAAUCGGAGGAAGGUGGGGAUGACGUCAGAUCAGCGUGGCUCUUACGUUCUGGGCUACACACGUGUUACAAUGGGUAGGUACAAAGGGUUGCCAAACUGCAAAGUGGAGCUAAUCCCGCUAAAACUACCCCCAGUUCGGAUUGAGGGCUGAAACUCGCCCUCAUGAAGUCGGAAUCGCUAGUAACCGUAGGUCAGCUAUACUACGGUGAAUACGUUCUCGGGUCUU
rnacentral:rRNA from 1 species